CUCGGAGAAUCUGUGUAACAGCAGCUGAAACAAGAGCUGUCCGUAAGACAGCGCGCUCGACUUUUUUAGUGCUUGCCUAUAAUACAAAACAUUGACAGUUAAGGGCCAUAAUUCAAAUAAAAUCUUUGACAGAAUUACCUUCUCCUGGACAUGUUUGGGAAUCAUGAUUGUAAAACAAGUAUUCCAACUUUCAAAUUAAUAUCUCAAACAGUUCAGUCAAAAAGUGGACUGGUACUAAAAACUUAACCAAGAUUCUAAGUCGAUAAAAGGCCUUAAUUUUUAAAACAAAUCCUUGACAGAGUUACCUUCUCUUGCGUACAGAUGGGGGGUAAUGAUGUGAAAUAGCAUUAAAAGUUUCAAAAGCAAUAUCUCAAAGGGUUAAGGCAAUAAGUGGAUUUUACCCAUAUUCAAUGUAUUUUCUAAGUCAAAAAGGGGCAUAAUUCUGUCAAAAACCUUGACAGAGUUAUGUCCUCUUGUCUGUUGAUGAAGGUCGUGAUGGUAAACAAGUAUGGUCAGUUUCAAAGCAAUACCUCCAAUGGUUUUGAAAUAAAGUGAGGUGGUACAAAAAACUUAACCAAGAUUCUAAGUCGAUAAAAGGCCUUAAUUUUUAAAACAAAUCCUUGACAGAGUUACCUUCUCUUGCGUACAGAUGGGGGUAAUGAUGUGAAAUAGCAUUAAAAGUUUCAAAGCAAUAUCUCAAAGGGUUAAGGCAAUAAGUGGAUUUUACCCAUAUUCAAUGUAUUUUCUAAGUCAAAAAGGGGCAUAAUUCUGUCAAAAACCUUGACAGAGUUAUGUCCUCUUGUCUGUUGAUGAAGGUCGUGAUGGUAAACAAGUAUGGUCAGUUUCAAAGCAAUACCUCCAAUGGUUUUGAAAUAAAGUGAGGUGGUACAAAAAACUUAACCAAGCUCAAUACACUUUCUAAGUCAAAAAAGGGCCAUAAUUCUGUCAAAAACCUUGACAGAGUUAUGUACUCUUGUCUGUAGAUGGAGGUUAUGAUGGUGAACAAGUAUGGUAAGUUUCAAAGCCAUACUUGUAAUACUUCUGAAAUAAAGUGGGGUGGUACGAAAAACUUAACCAAGGUGUGACGCCAACGCUAACGCUAACGCCGACGCCGACGCCGGGGCGAGUAGGAUAGCUCCCCUUUUCAUAGAAAAGUCGAGCUAAAAAAGGAUUCAUAAUUC